AACGAACGCUGGCGGCAUGCCUAACACAUGCAAGUCGAACGAGACCUUCGGGUCUAGUGGCGCACGGGUGCGUAACGCGUGGGAACCUGCCCUUAGGUUCGGAAUAACUCCCCGAAAGGGGUGCUAAUACCGGAUAAUGUCUUCGGACCAAAGAUUUAUCGCCUUUGGAUGGGCCCGCGUUGGAUUAGCUAGUUGGUAGGGUAAAAGCCUACCAAGGCGACGAUCCAUAGCUGGGCUGAGAGGAUGAUCAGCCACACUGGGACUGAGACACGGCCCAGGCUCCUACGGGAGGCAGCAGUGGGGAAUAUUGGACAAUGGGCGAAAGCCUGAUCCAGCAAUGCCGCGUGAGUGAUGAAGGCCUUAGGGUUGUAAAGCUCUUUUACCCGGGAUGAUAAUGACAGUACCGGGAGAAUAAGCUCCGGCUAACUCCGUG
rnacentral:rRNA from 1 species